AUCACUACACUAAAUUAUUCCCCUUCCAACUGGAGAUUGGGAUGGGAGGUGGCAGUUGGUGGUGCUACAUGGUCAGUGGCGACUCAAGUAUUUUUUUGUCAAUGGUGACGUGUAUUUAGAACUAUAUUAUAUAUUCUUUGGAAUUUUAAACGUUAAUAUCUGUCACAGAUUUCUAACAAAUAACUUAUAACUUACCUAAUCAUAAUCAAGAAAUGCAUUUAAGAAUUUAUUUCUUGUGUUACAAUUGGUUUUCUUCAAAAAAAAUUGGUUAUUGCAAACUUUUUAUAUUGGUUCCAAUAGUCUUUUAAACAAUUUAUCCAAUUUGCAUUCUAAUAUACAUCAGAUUCUAAUAAAGAUAAACAGAGUAUUUGAAUCUAUCUCAUAGCUCAUCUUUUUUACAGUGCACCGUUUGCUAAUGGGGGUUGUACAGAUGAGGAAUUGACCGUGUAAAUCUGUCACACAACCAAAGAUAGUGAGCCUAUUUCAGAAAAAUCAGGGAGCUCAGUGGUAUUUUUCAGAUACGUGUGAAGUGUAAUUUAAUAAACCAAAUUUUUGCAAUAAAGGUUGGGUCAAAAAUUCAACAAGUCAAAAGAAUGGCCAAUACUCGAUAACAGAGAGGAAUCAAAGUCAAAGGCGCAAGGAACGGAGUUGGUGGGUCGCACACCUCUUCUCUCUGUAUAUAUGCCCCCCAUAGAGUCGUUUCCUCUCAACAACCCAAAAGAAAUCGCUUCCUCCCCUCUCCUCACUCUAGCUGCUUCUCUCUCUUCUCUCUCCUCUCAAUUGAGGGGGUACCUGGUGAUCUUGGAUGCAAUGGUGAAACAUCCCAGGUUUCACUCUCACUGCCCUCACAACUGCUCGGUGUAACUACCACCCCCCACCUUCCAACUCCGACGACCACCACCACAACGCGCACAGCAGUGAUCGUGAGAACACGCGCUGGUUCAGGACCGACCCGGAUGCCCCUUUUUGGACCAACCUAAUUUGGUGUUUGGAGGCUACAGAUUUUAUCGUUUUAUUCUUUGGUCUUAUAAAGACACCCCACGUAGAGAAGAACUAAAGGAAAUUAUUUGGUAGUUUUUUUUUUUUGGAGUGAAUUUGUCAUUUUUCGGAACUCUUGAGUCAUUUCUAAAAGAGAAUUCAAAAUUCCAAUAACAAUAUUAGGUUGUCCAAAAAAUCCGAGAACGUGAACCGAACCGAACGCUAGGCCAACCGUGUAUUUUGGAUUGGUUCAUGUUUUAAUAGUUAGGUUCUGGUUUUUAAAAAUUAGAACCGUAAAUUUGGUCGGUUACCGAUUUUUAUUUUUUAACCGUGGUUUCGAACCGAACCGAACCGAAAUCUAUUAUAUCUUAUAUAUAUAUAUCGGGUAUAUAUUUAUUUAGACAUUAUUCACAACUACACGUGAGUACUUUUAGUUUUUCUCCCAACAAAAAUUUUUCACUUCCCAUGGAUAUUGGAUUACGCUAUCCAUUUUCCAUCAAAACAUUUCAUAUUCUUUCUUAUCCAGAUUUUAUCAGUUACUUUUUUUUUUGUUAUCCAUUAAGAUUCUUUUUCAGUUUUUUAUUUAUUGUCUUUUUUUGUUGUUAUCCUUAUGAAUUCUAAUUUUUAUGAGUUUAUUAUUGCAAUAUUAGGGUUGGUUUGAUUGAGUCAUAUCAUUUAAUGGAGUCAAUUAUGAACUAUUUUAAUACUAUUUUUGGUUCAUGACUUGAACAUAUGAAUUUAUGGGUUAUUGUUAAAUAAUAAUUUGUUGAAUUUUAUAUUUUAUAAAACUAUUUGAAUGUUAAUUGGAUUGAACCGGAACCAAAUCGGAACCGAACCGAUAAGGCGAUCGGUUGUGGUUGGUUCUAUACUUGUAAUGGUUAGUUCCGUUUCUUAUUUUUUUCAGAACCGUUAAACAUGGAUUGGUUUUACUAAUUCUUAUGGAACCGGACAUCCGGACCAUGGACACCCUAACAAUAAUUACAAUUUGCCCCUUAUACAUGACAGGUUCAAGUAUCUAUAUUUUUUUAUGUAAUUUUAAAAAAAAAAAGAUAGUUUUUUGUUGUUGCUCAAAACUAAUAUUGACACACACGAUCAAAAUUUCGUGGUUCGGCCAACGAUGCUUACGUCAACGGGAGAAAAUCAACAACUACUAUCAACGAAUGGAUUACACGGAGCAGACUCACCUCUCAUUCACACCCUCUCUCACAAUUCUCUCUGCUGUCUUGGCCUCUCAAUCUCACCGCCAGCAAUCUGCUCUCAAACCCACAACACAACGCACGUAGAAAAUCUAAGCACCUACCAUCCCUUUUAUAACCAAAAGGAAGGAAGGUGGUACACUCCUACCAGAAUACCUAAUCAUUAUCUAAUCUAUCUAGGAAGACAAAAGAUAACGACUCUCAAGAGUCUAGAUAACUCGAGAGUUUCACCGCACAUGGACCUCCAUAUGAACUCCAAUCGGGCUGGACUGGCUACUGACUUGGACCAUCCAAUUGGACUUGGAUUCAUUCAAAUGGGCUGGACU
rnacentral:lncRNA from 1 species